rnacentral:rRNA from 1 species
ACGGGGUGCAGCAGGGGAGAAAACUUUGCAAUGUGCGAAAGCACGACAAGGUUAAUCCGAGUGAUUUCUGCUAAAGGAAUCUUUCGUCAGUCCUAGAAACACUGUUGAAUAAGGGGUGGGCAAGUUCUGGUGUCAGCCGCCGCGGUAAAACCAGCACCUCAAGUGGUCAGGAUGAUUAUUGGGCCUAAAGCAUCCGUAGCCUGUUUUGUCAGUUUUCGGUUAAAUCCAUACGCUCAACGUAUGGGCUGCCGGAAAUACUGCAAAACUAGGGAGUGGGAGAGGUAGACGGUACUCGGGGGGAAGGGGUAAAAUCCUUUGAUCUCUCGAUGACCACCUGUGGCGAAGGCGGUCUACCAGAACACGUCCGACGGUGAGGGAUGAAAGCUGGGGGAGCAAACCGGAUUAGAUACCCGGGUAGUCCCAGCUGUAGACUAUGCAAACUCAGUGAUGCAUUGGCUUGAUGCCAAUGCAGUGUUGCAGGGAAGUCGUUAAGUUUGCCGCCUGGGAAGUACGUACGCAAGUAUGAAACUUAAAGGAAUUGGCGGGGGAGCAC